GUGCUUGCUUUGGUAGUACAUAUACUAACAUUGAAACAAUACAGCGAAGAUUAGCAUGGCCUCUCUGCAAGAACAAUAUGCAAAUUUGUGAAGCAUUCCAUACUUUU
rnacentral:snRNA from 1 species